rnacentral:rRNA from 1 species
CCUACGGGAGGCAGCAGUGAGGAAUAUUGGUCAAUGGACGAGAGUCUGAACCAGCCAAGUAGCGUGAAGGAUGACUGCCCUAUGGGUUGUAAACUUCUUUUAUAUGGGAAUAAAACGUUCCACGUGUGGGAUUUUGUAUGUACCAUAUGAAUAAGGAUCGGCUAACUCCGUGCCAGCAGCCGCGGUAAUACGGAGGAUCCGAGCGUUAUCCGGAUUUAUUGGGUUUAAAGGGAGCGUAGGUGGAUUGUUAAGUCAGUUGUGAAAGUUUGCGGCUCAACCGUAAAAUUGCAGUUGAAACUGGCAGUCGUGAGUACAGUAGAGGUGGGCGGAAUGCGUGGUGUAGCGGUGAAAUGCUUAGAUAUCACGAAGAACUCCGAUUGCGAAGGCAGCUCACUGGACUGCAACUGACACUGAUGCUCGAAAGUGUGGGUAUCAAACAGGAUUAGAUACCCCUGUAGUC